UUCGACAGCGACCUCAGGUCAGGCGGGAUUACCAG
rnacentral:rRNA from 1 species